rnacentral:rRNA from 1 species
AACGAACGCUGGCGGCAGGCCUAACACAUGCAAGUCGAGCGCCCAGCAAUGGGAGCGGCAGACGGGUGAGUAACGCGUGGGAACCUUCCCAAUGGUACGGAAUAGCUCAGGGAAACUUGAGGUAAUACCGCAUAAGCCCGAAAGGGAAGAUUUAUCGCCAUUGGAUGGGCCCGCGUAGGAUUAGCUAGUUGGUGAGGUAAUGGCUCACCAAGGCGACGAUCCUUAGCUGGUUUGAGAGAAUGACCAGCCACACUGGGACUGAGACACGGCCCAGACUCCUACGGGAGGCAGCAGUGGGGAAUCUUGGACAAUGGGCGAAAGCCUGAUCCAGCCAUGCCGCGUGAGUGACGAAGGUCUUCGGAUUGUAAAGCUCUUUUGCCAGGGACGAUAAUGACGGUACCUGGAGAAUAAGCCCCGGCUAACUUCGUGCCAGCAG